AUGGCCGCCUGGUCGGCCGACCUCUCGUCGGCGCUCUACAAGGAAAUGGCGCCUGUGGUGCUCUGCCUCCUAAGUGUCAUGUUCGUCGUCGGGAUGGCGGACUUCAGCCGUCUCCCCGGCUGCGGAAGAGCAACGAGGAUGGACCUCCAGGAGCUCGCGGUCCAGGUGCGCUACACCCUCGUCCUCAGCGCCUCCGCGGCCGCCGGGGUACUCUCCUGGCUCGGCAAGGCGGCCGACGACCUGAGCGCCGCUGGGUGGGACUGGGAGAUGCGCGCCAUGUUCAUCGUCGGCCUCAACCUCGCCUUAACCUUGACGUUCCUUGCCCUCUCCGCCCUGGUCUUGGAGCUCUCCUGCGACAUCGUCGUCAACUACUGCAUCGCGGCGGCGCUCGUCGGCGUGCAUCUCGUUGCUGCCUGGGUUGUCCGCCUCGGCAUCGACUACGACGGGACGCACUCGGCGCAGACUGACAUGUCGGUGGCCUACAGCCUGGAGGAGUACGUGGCGGCCGUGGUCGCCGGCGUCGGCCGCGUCUGCGACCGCAAGGGCGUGCAACACCCUGUCAUCUGCAGCGAGAGCGGCCGCGCGGUGGUGUCGCACCACUCGGUCCUCAUCUUCGAGGCCUUCUCCGCGACGGCGCCGGCUUCCAACAUGAUGGACCCGGCCACCGCCUACCUGCUCGACGAGCUCACCGAUGACUGCCGCAGCGAUUACCGCAACCUCAUGGUCUCGGCCGUGCGCGGCGACUUCGACACCUACGGCCUGUACGCGGACCAGCUGAAGCGGCACUGCGCCGAGCAGUUCAAGGAGGGGGUCCUCGGGCUGGAGCACCUCGCCGCCGUGGACGGGCUCUGCGAGAUCGUCGCCCGCGGCAUGGGCGCGGCGGAGGGGCCGCGCAGGUACCACAUCAACCUGUCCGUGUUCACCUCGCUGCCGGACAUGUGGGCCAUCGAGCAGCUCUUCCCCAUCAUCCCCAUCCAGCGCCUCCAGGAGCGGCCCGCCGUGGACGGCGUCCUCUCGGACCUGACCUGCGACAGCGACGGCAAGGUGGACCAGUUCAUCGGCGGCAGGAGUAGCCUCCCCCUGCACGAGCUCCCCACCCACGGCACCCGCGGCUACUACCUGGGCAUGUUCCUGGGCGGCGCCUACCAGGAGGCGCUCGGCGGCCUGCACAACCUGUUCGGCGGGCCGAGCGUGGUGCGCGUCUCCCAGAGCGACGGGCCGCACUGCGAGAGAGGUUUCAUGGUCUGGAGCAGAGAGGACAAAUCCAUCUCGUGCAGGCAAACCCACGAGAUGUAG
rnacentral:rRNA from 1 species